CUGAAAGCAGUCAUCAUGACACAUUCCACUAAAUAUAUAACAACAAUUAUCAAACCAUCGUGUUCGGUUAUUUCAUCGGAGAUUCAAAUUAAAUGUCUUUUUUUAAAUGACGACAGAUAUAAACUUCAUGUAUCCGAUUUUAACUCUUAUGAGAAAAGAGGUUGCUUACAAAAGACAAAAGCAAAUUAUACUUAUAUAUGUAUAAGCCUAUGCCAC
rnacentral:lncRNA from 1 species